UUUUUGAUUUAAUUGUUACAAUAAAUUUUUUGUAUUUAUUUUCAUUAUAUUGCAGUAAUCUGAGGCAUUCCUGUUGAUCAUUCUUUUUUUUGAGAGUUUAUUAUUUUGGUAAUGGAGAAUUUUGAGGGUUAAGAAAUAAGUUGAUCGCUGGAAUAGUGAUUAUGGACUAGUGUUACUUAAUCAGGGUUAGAUGAUGAUCUUCUGCUGAAUUCGGGUUGAAGAAUAUUAUGAUCCAAAUUCGAAGCUUGCGACACUAUCACCAGUGUGUGAUUGAAUCAAUGGAUGAUAAAGGAGCUGCAAUUAAAACUGACAAUUCUAGGAGCAGAGGAACAGAAUCUGAGAGGACUCAAGGUGAUGCUGUUUUUGAGCUGGGCUCACAUGCUGCUAAAGAUAAUGCUCAAUUCUCUAUGACAGAUUCUCAAUCUGUAGGAGAUAUUGCACGAAAGGAAGCACCUAAACAUUGUGAUGAUCCCUCAAUGGAGGUAAAUAUGGAUGCUACUAUCGAUCCUGAUGAUGUGAUACGAGCUGGAGGUUUUGGUGCUAGAGAUGAUAUAAAUAGUUUUCUUCCUAUUGCAAGUGACUCAACUGACUUUGAAGCUUCAUUGCUUGAUGCGCGUGAGUAUGAAGAGCCCCAGGGUGAGCUACGCCGACCAGGCCUUGGCUGGAUGGAAGAUAGACUCUCACAGUGAAUAUGUUGUUUCAGGGGUACAAGUCGUUUUUGGAUACACUAAUAAUGGUAAUUAGGGUUUAAGUCGUUUUUGGAUUCACUACUAAUGGUAAUUGGUAAGUGUAUUUCAUAUGAACGCGAUGUUUCUUUUUUGACUUAACGUUUGGAUUAGUGGUCCUUUCAUGUUCCUCGACACGUGUUUCUAGGUUCCUUACUCAAAUGUUGGCAGCUAACUCCGUGUUCAAAGUAACCUCAAUACCCAUCUUAUUCGAGGUUUGAACAAAACGCUCUUCCAUGCCUUUAUUAGAUAACUAGCAAGUGUGUGCAUGGACACUAAUUAUGAGCUACCUUGCUAAUCCUUGCUAUUUGACCCCAAUAAAAAAGCUUUUGGACAAAUUUGUACAUAUAAUUUUGUAAUGUCAGAUUGAUUAUAUGCUGUUGGGAUUUUGGUCGAAUCCCAGUACUCGGUUAAUAAAUUUAUUUUAUGUUUGAUGAGAUAUGUUAUAUUUGUUUGUUA